AGAAGGUUAAGGAUGUUGUCGUGCUGCUAGUACUCCUCUGUUGGGUGGUAUAGAUGUACAGAUUGAUUUCAGCACUGGCAUUGGAAAAUCCAAUUGCACCUCACAGCAAUCGGAGACCGCACUCAAUUUGUUCUAAAUCAUGAAAGCCUUCAGGAGUUGAAUGACCAAAACUAUUAUGUGAAUAAUUGCGAGUAGAAAAUAAAUCAGUCAUGCAAAUUAAGUGCUACUCUCAACUUAAAGAAGUAUGAGAAUGAAAUUGAAGAGCCAGUCGUUCCUUGAGGCAAAGCAUGGGUAAUCAGGUAAGAAGAUAUCUGUAAACUGCACUACACCUUCUCUAAUGUUUAUUUCUCUUUGUGAUUUUCCCUUCCUCAUUUAUUCUUUUAUUGUUACGCCUUUCAAUGUGAUC